AAAGUCAUACAAUUCAUAUAUUUAACUUUGUAAAAAAUUGUAAAAAUGAGAGCACUUGAAUGAUCAUUCACUUGAAAAAGGCAAAAGUCGCGCAGCAGACACAGAGACGCUAGGAUAUAAAUUUUUUUUUUUUUUUAUAUAUGCACGUAAUUGGAGGCAAAAAAAAAGUUGAUAUAAAGACCAAGUAACAAGAGUUAGGUACAAACGAGAAUAUACUUAAUAAGGAUAUUUACUAGUUGGCAGAACUGAAGAGAGAAGCAUGUUUGUUAUCCACAACAAAGGGGAGAGAGAUCAAAUGAAUCAAAGAGAAUGUUUUAUAAUUUUUUAGCAAAAAAAAAAAAAAUUCUCUGUGUUCUAGCAUUAUUGUGACAUGCGUGGAGAGGGCAAAUGAAUAAAUUGCAAAAACAUAUUUAUUAAAAUAGUAAAAAAAAAAAAA